rnacentral:rRNA from 1 species
AACGAACGCUGGCGGCAUGCCUAACACAUGCAAGUCGAACGAGAUCUUCGGGUCUAGUGGCGCACGGGUGCGUAACGCGUGGGAAUCUGCCCUUUGGUUCGGAAUAACAGUUGGAAACGACUGCUAAUACCGGAUGAUGACGAAAGUCCAAAGAUUUAUCGCCAGAGGAUGAGCCCGCGUAGGAUUAGCUAGUUGGUGUGGUAAAGGCGCACCAAGGCGACGACCCUUAGUUGGUCUGAGAGGAUGAUCAGCCACACUGGGACUGAGACACGGCCCAGACUCCUACGGGAGGCAGCAGUGGGGAAUAUUGGACAAUGGGCGAAAGCCUGAUCCAGCAAUGCCGCGUGAGUGAUGAAGGCCUUAGGGUUGUAAAGCUCUUUUACCCGGGAUGAUAAUGACAGUACCGGGAGAAUAAGCUCCGGCUAACUCCGUGCCAGCAGCCGCCGUAA